UACGUAGGGUGCGAGCGUUGUUCGGAAUUACUGGGCGUAAAGGGCUCGUAGGCGGCCAACUAAGUCGGAUGUGAAAUCCCCAGGCUUAACCUGGGAACUGCAUCCGAUACUGGAUGGCUUGAAUCCGGGAGAGGGAUGCGGAAUUCCAGGUGUAGCGGUGAAAUGUGUAGAUAUCUGGAGGAACACCGGUGGCGAAGGCGGCAUCCUGGACCGGCAUUGACGCUGAGGCGCGAAAGCUAGGGGAGCAAACGGG
rnacentral:rRNA from 1 species